UGGGGAAUAUUGGACAAUGGGGGCAACCCUGAUCCAGCAAUGCCGCGUGCGUGAAGAAGGCCUUCGGGUUGUAAAGCGCUUUCGCCCGCGACGAUGAUGACGGUAGCGGGAGAAGAAGCCCCGGCUAACUCCGUGCCAGCAGCCGCGGUAAUACGGAGGGGGCUAGCGUUGUUCGGAAUUACUGGGCGUAAAGGGCGCGUAGGCGGCCCUGCAAGUCAGACGUGAAAGCCCCGGGCUCAACCUGGGAAUUGCGUUUGAGACUGCGGGGCUGGAGUCCGGGAGAGGUGAGCGGAAUUCCCAGUGUAGAGGUGAAAUUCGUAGAUAUUGGGAAGAACACCGGUGGCGAAGGCGGCUCACUGGACCGGCACUGACGCUGAGGCGCGAAAGCGUGGGGAGCAAACAGG
rnacentral:rRNA from 1 species